UACGAAGGGUGCAAACGUUGCUCGGAAUUAUUGGGCGUAAAGCGCACGUAGGCGGUUCGUUAAGUCGGAUGUGAAAGCCCUCGGCUCAACUGAGGAAGUGCACCCGAAACUGGCGAGCUUGAGUACGAAAGAGGAUCGCGGAAUUCCCGGUGUAGAGGUGGAAAUUCGUAGAUAUCGGGAGGAACACCGGUGGCGAAGGCGGCGAUCUGGGUCGAUACUGACGCUGAGGUGCGAAAGCGUGGGGAGCAAACAGG
rnacentral:rRNA from 1 species